rnacentral:tRNA from 1 species
AUAAAGGAGCCGAAUGAAACCAAAAUUUCAUGUUCGGUCCAAGCUAACGAUGCGGGUUCGAUUCCCGCUACCCGCU